rnacentral:lncRNA from 1 species
GCAGAAAUGUCCCUGGUUUGAAUCCCGACUGAGCCUGAAUCCUGGAUAUUCUUCCCUGUUCUCUGGGUGCUCCAGCUUUAUGACAGCAAAUCUAUGGCAAAUAGAACCGAACACACGGGUGAUGGUUAUGCUUGCGGUGUUCUGAACUGCAGGAGGAUAACAGAUCCAGACACGAGGAAACAGGAGACUGGACUGGAAAGAAAAAAAAGAAAUAAAAAAUCCCUCUGUGAGAAGAACAUCCAGCGCACUAAAGAAAGGCAGAGACAUUAACAGAUUGUCGCUGCUGACCUGAGAUCAGUGAUGACACCUGAAGACACAUAAAAAGAGCUGCCCAGACCCUCGUGCCACUCCAGCAGAUUGGAUAUCAGGCAUCUCCAGACGGGGCAUCAACGUCACAGCUAGUCAGCAGGUUUGUGAAAUAUUUACUGCGGAUGAUGGUUCAUGAAGAAUACAUGAGGACAGUGGAGCAGUGCUUUACGGCCUUGUUGCUGAGCGCACCCCUGCCAGGAAGGACUGCUGCUCGCACGGCUGACAAAGUUUCACACCACUGCCUGGCAUCAAGAGCUAUGAGUCAAAUUGUAACAUAAUAUCAGACAUUUGUAUUCAGUUAUUCUAAAAGAAAAGGGAAAGUUACGCUUGAAAAAAGGAAUCCAUUUUGUUUAUUCAGUAUAUGCUAGUCUCACCUAAAGAUGUUACACAAAAGAAACACACAAAUAUGCUAACAUGUGACCCUUAUUUAAAAUUUUUUAAUAACAUGAAUAUUUUUUAACAUGUUUUGCUAUGGAAAAUUGACUCUCUCAAAUUAAUAUUUGCGUAAUAUUAAUGUAUCCGAAGAUAACUUAUGUUUUCUGGCUGUAUUC